rnacentral:rRNA from 1 species
GACGAACGCUGGCGGCGUGCUUAACACAUGCAAGUCGAACGGAAAGGCCCUGCUUUUGUGGGGUGCUCGAGUGGCUAACGGGUGAGUAACACGUGAGUAACCUGCCCUUGACUUUGGGAUAACUUCAGGAAACUGGGGCUAAUACCGGAUAGGAGCUCCUGCUGCAUGGUGGUGGUUGGAAAGUUUCGGCGGUUGGGGAUGGACUCGCGGCUUAUCAGCUUGUUGGUGGGGUAGUGGCUUACCAAGGCUUUGACGGGUAGCCGGCCUGAGAGGGUGACCGGCCACAUUGGGACUGAGAUACGGCCCAGACUCCUACGGGAGGCAGCAGUGGGGAAUAUUGCACAAUGGGCGGAAGCCUGAUGAAGCAACGCCGCGUGCGGGAUGACGGCCUUCGGGUUGUAAACCGCUUUCGCCUGUGACGAAGCGUGAGUGACGGUAAUGGGUAAAGAAGCACCGGCUAACUACGUG